AACGAACGCUGGCGGCAUGCCUAACACAUGCAAGUCGAACGAGACCUUCGGGUCUAGUGGCGCACGGGUGCGACACGCGUGGGAAUCUACCCUCAGGUUCGGAAUAACUCAGAGAAAUUUGAGCUAAUACCGGAUGAUGACGUAAGUCCAAAGAUUUAUCGCCUGAGGAUGAGCCCGCGUAGGAUUAGGUAGUUGGUGAGGUAAAGGCUCACCAAGCCGACGAUCCUUAGCUGGUCUGAGAGGAUGAUCAGCCACACUGGGACUGAGACACGGCCCAGACUCCUACGGGAGGCAGCAGUGGGGAAUAUUGGACAAUGGGCGAAAGCCUGAUCCAGCAAUGCCGCGUGAGUGAUGAAGGCCUUAGGGUUGUAAAGCUCUUUUACCCGGGAUGAUAAUGACGGUACCGGGAGAAUAAGCUCCGGCUAACUCCGUG
rnacentral:rRNA from 1 species